AUAAUCAAUAAGCGGAGGAAAAGAAACCAACAGGGAUUGCCCUAGUAACGGCGAGUGAAGCGGCAACAGCUCAAAUUUGAAAGCUAGCCUUCGGGUUCGCAUUGUAAUUUGUAGAGGAUGCUUUGGGGCAGCCGCCUGUCUAAGUUCCUUGGAACAGGACGUCAUAGAGGGUGAGAAUCCCGUAUGUGACAGGACAUGGCACCCUAUGUAAAGCUCCUUCGACGAGUCGAGUUGUUUGGGAAUGCAGCUCUAAAUGGGAGGUAAAUUUCUUCUAAAGCUAAAUACCGGCGAGAGACCGAUAGCGCACAAGUAGAGUGAUCGAAAGAUGAAAAGCACUUUGGAAAGAGAGUUAAAAAGCACGUGAAAUUGUUGAAAGGGAAGCGCUUGCAAUCAGACUUGUCUUUAACUGUUCGGCCGGUCUUCUGACCGGUUUACUCAGUAAUCGACAGGCCAGCAUCAGUUUCGGCGGUCGGAUAAAGGCCUUGGGAAUGUGGCUCUGCCUUCGGGUAGAGUGUUAUAGCCCAGGGUGUAAUACGGCCAGCCGGGACUGAGGUCCGCGAUUCGUCUAGGAUGCUGGCGUAAUGGUUGUAAGCGACCCGUCUUGAAACACGGACCAAGGAGUCUAACAUCUAUGCGAGUGUUCGGGUGUCAAACCCCUACGCGUAAUGAAAGUGAACGGAGGUGAGAACCGCAAGGUGCAUCAUCGACCGAUCCUGAUGUCUUCGGAUGGAUUUGAGUAAGAGCAUAGCUGUUGGGACCCGAAAGAUGGUGAACUAUGCCUGAAUAGGGUGAAGCCAGAGGAAACUCUGGUGGAGGCUCGCAGCGGUUCUGACGUGCAAAUCGAUCGUCAAAUUUGGGUAUAGGGGCGAAAGACUAAUCGAACCAUCUAGUAGCUGGUUCUGC
rnacentral:rRNA from 1 species